GUAAUUAACUCUUCUUUACCUGAAUUUUUUUCCUAUAUAGCUAACUCUAUCAGAGAUGACUUAUAUAUUAUUUUGUUAGAAUUGAACCUGUAUCAAUCAUGAUGAUUUCUAAUGCAAUUAAAUGGGCAUUAAAUGAAUUGCUGGCAUUAAAUGAAAUAAAUUGCUGGGAAUAAUGAAUAAAUUGCUGAAAUAAUUGCUGGGCAUUAAAUGAAAUAAAUAAAAGUGCAUUGAUUAUCACUAUAUAUCAUAGAAAUAUGUUAGAAGUGUACACGGCGAGGAGGUAGAUCACUCCUCAGUAUUAAAUUUGCGAUAAAAUUUGCUAAAUAAAUACAUGUGAUUCAAUAACUUUUAGUAUUAAAUGUCGAGGAGGUAGAUUACUCCUCAGUAUUAUAUUUGCGAUAAAAUUUGCUACAUAAAUACAUGUGAUUCAAUAACUUUUAGUAUUAAAUGUGUGACAGAACAUUGCAUAUACUUUCUAUAAUUUAUGUAUUUGAUUUACAUUUUAAUGUGAAUAAAAACUUAUUCUUAU